UUAUAAAUAUCUUGUUAAAUUAAAAAAAAAUUAAUAUUGAGAAAAAUAAUUUUAAGAUAUAAUGUUAAGUAAUUUUUAUUGAAUAUUUAUAUAGACUAUAGUUUAAAGUACUGUAAAGGAAAAAUAAAAAAUUUAAGUUAGUAAUUGUAAAAUUUUGUGCCUUGUGUAUCAGGAAAAAUUUAUAUGAGUUAAUAAUUUUUAUAAGUCUCGAAAUAAAAUAUAGCUAAUUUCAUAUAAAAUUUUUUGUGAAAAAUAAAUUUUUAAUGUGAAAUUAGAAGUGAUAUGUUAGUCGGGUUUUAUUAUAUCUAGUUUUUUGAAAAUAAAUUUAAUUUAAUUUUUAUAUUAAUUAAUAUAAGAUUUAAAUGUAGGAGGGACUAGCUUCUUAUAUGUUGAAAUGAUAAAGAGUUUAAAAUGUUAGUUUUAGUGAAUUAAGCUUAAAAGUAGCUAUAUUAAUAAAGUGUUUUAACUAAACUAAAAUAAAAAAUAUUUAUUUGAACUUUUUUUAAUAUUAGAAAAUUAAUUUAAACUUUAAUGAUUAAGUUAUAAUGAUUUUAUUAGUAUAAAUUUAGUAUUAAUUUUAUUAUUUAAAUAAUGGUUGUUAUUUAAAAAGUUAAUAAACAAUAUAAAGGAAUUCGGCAAAAUGAUUUCUUUGCCUGUUUAUCAAAAACAUGUCUGUUUGGAGGUAUAAAAAGUUUAACCUGCCCACUGAUUAAUAGUAAUUAAAUGGCCGCGGUAUUUUGACCGUGCAAAGGUAGCAUAAUCGUUAGUUUUUUAAUUGAAAUCUUGUAUGAAUGGUUGGACAAAAGAAAAUCUGUCUCUUUGUUGUUUUUUGAAUUUAACUUUUAAGUGAAAAGGCUUAAAUAAAUUAAAAAGACGAUAAGACCCUAUAAAACUUAAUAUUAAUAUUUUAUUUAGUUAAAUUUUUAUAAUAAAAACUUAGUAGUUUAAUUUAUUUUAUUGGGGCGAUAGAGGUAAAAUUGGCACUAACUGCUUAAUGUUUAUUACAUUUAUAAAUGAUUAAAAUUUUAAAUGAUCCUUAAUAAAGAUUAUAAGUUUAAGUUACUUUAGGGAUAACAGCGUUAUUUUUUUUGAGAGUACUUAUCGAAAAAAAAGUUUGCGACCUCGAUGUUGAAUUAAAGUAUCUU
rnacentral:rRNA from 1 species